GUGUCAGCAGCCGCGGUAAUACGGAGGGGGCUAGCGUUGUUCGGAAUUACUGGGCGUAAAGCGUACGUAGGCGGCUUUGUAAGUCAGAGGUGAAAGCCCACGACUCAAUCGUGGAACUGCCUUUGAGACUGCUUCGCUUGAAGAUGGGAGAGGUUAGUGGAAUUCCGAGUGUAGAGGUGAAAUUCGUAGAUAUUCGGAAGAACACCAGUGGCGAAGGCGGCUAACUGGACCAUUCUUGACGCUGAGGUACGAAAGCGUGGGGAGCAAACAGGAUUAGAAACCCUUGUAGUCC
rnacentral:rRNA from 1 species